UAUUUACUUUUCUUUUUACACCAGGUAGGGACACCAGGUGUAGGUAGAUGGGUCCAGACGGGACUACAGAUGGCCCGUUGGACCCACUCAGUGCACAUUUGUACAUGAGAUGUGCGGGGACGCUGAUACGUGUCAACCUCAAACCAUCCCAGAGUGCAUCAAUGUGAAGUACCCGUGAUACAGUUUUUACAGCGCUGUGUGUUGUGUGAAUGUCAUACAAUUCUUGUACCAUAUUCUGAUGUACGCGGAUAAAGUGAGUGAAGGGCUCGACUAAUGUUACAGGACUACUUUACUGUAGUCCAGAGAACAUGUGGCCUGACAUGUCAUGGAUUUAAAAAGAAAAGUGUGCCACAACUGUGCUAUUGAUGUAGCACUAACCCCAAAUGUUUGACUUUAUUUCCCAAAAAUACAUGUUUUGUAGGUUUUGGAUAAAUCACUCAAACCAGUGUUGUUAAUUUUCAGUUUUUGAGUCGCAGCACAGCUGUGGAAAUUGUCAACAGCAGCAAAGUUCUCCAGGCGGAGACAACCCUGCUUCUGGAUGGAAAACAUCCGUCCAAGUUCCCUGAGGAAGAGGGGCUCUGCUUAACCAUGAACAGCAUGAGUGCUGAGCUCUACAAGCUGGAUGACAUUCACUGGAUCUGUCCACUAAUGCACUGUGCUGAGGAGGGGUUGGUGCGUCCCAGUAGUAAAAGCAGCAUAAAGCUUAAGAUCAUGCCCAAGGUGAAGAGGGAGAAGGAAAAGCUCCACAAGCAGAAGUCAAACCGCUCGCUCUCAGGUUGGAACAGCCGAUAAAACACACCCAAAGUCAUCGAGCAGACAAAUCGGAAUGUGGAGCGUUGUUUUGAGCAGGUUACUUUGCUUCCCUCUAGUGGCCCGGUGAGGUAAAAUUUGCAGCCGCAUGGCCAGCUACUUGAAGCUGCUUUCACACAGCAUUCCAUAUUGUCCACAAAUGUAUUCUCCUUUCCUUUUUGAG